UAUGGCCAUGUCACAUUGAAACACCAGUUCCCAUACAAUCACCAAAGUUAAGCAGUGUCAAGCCUGGUCAGUACCUAGAUGGGUAACCACUUGGAGAUACCAGGUGCUGUAAG
rnacentral:rRNA from 1 species